CCUACGGGGGGCAGCAGUCGGGAAUAUUGCGCAAUGGACGAAACUCUGACGCAGUGACGUCGCGUGCAGGAUGAAGGUCUUCGGAUUUUAAACUGCUUUAGACAGGGAAGAAAAAAGACAGUACCUGUAGACUAAGCUACUGCUAACUACGGGACAGCAGCCGCGGUAAUACGGAGGGAGCAAGCGUUAUCCGGAUUUAUUGGGUGUAAAGGGUGCGUAGACGGGGAAGCAAGGUAGUUGGUAAAUCCCACGGCUUAACUGAGGAACUGCAACUAAAACUACUUCCCUUGAGUACUGGAGAGGAAAGUGGAAUGCCUGGUGUAGCGGUGAAAUGCGUAGAUAUUACGAAGAACACCAGUGGCGAAGGCGACUUUCUGGACAGUAACUGACGUUGAGGCACGAAAGUGUGGGGAGCAAACAGGAUUAGAUACCCUGGUAGUC
rnacentral:rRNA from 1 species